GGGUCUAUAGCUUAUACUAAACCUCAGAAUCAGAAAGAGCUUUAUUGCCAAGUAUGCUUGCACAUACAAGGAGUCUGUUUUAGUGACAUAAAUUUCCAGUACACAGAGGCAACAACAAAACACAGCCAAAAAAAAAAAAAAAAGACAAAUAUUGCAAAAUAAAUCGUAAAAUAAAUAAAUUGUAUGAACAGUUGUGUUAUGGAUGAUAAUGGAAUAGAAUAGAGUGAGAUGCAGGGAUGUACUAGGAUGGAGGGGUAACAAAUAAAUAUAAGGAUAUUGCACAUUUUAUUGCAUAAGUGGGGAACAUUAAACUGUUCAUGAGGUAUAUUGCCUGGGGAAAGAAACUGUUCUUGUGCCUGGCUGUCCUGAUAUUUGUGGCUCUGAAGCGCCGGCCAGAUGUCAAAAGUUCAAAGAUGGGGUAUCUUGGGUGUGAGGGAUCCAGAGUGAUUUUUUUGAGCCCUUUUCCUCACUCUGGAUGUAUACAGUUCUUGGAGGGUGGGCAGGGGAGCACCAAUAAUCCUUUCAGCAGUCCGAACCAUUCUCUGUAGUCUUUUGAUUUCUGAUUUUGUAGCUGAACCAAACCAGACAUGAUGUUUUAUUAACAAGGUUCGGGAGGAGCACGUCAGAUACUUAGCCUAAUUAGCACAGGUGGAGCUCACUUAAGAUAAUCAACACUAGGGUAUAAAUACAGCUGACUUACCCCUAUCCAUUGACGGUUUAUCAGCAUCCCCCCUCCACCCCAUCUCCUCCACUUAGAGUUCAUUUUACACUUAUGUAGGGGGGGGUACUCUAGGUUCGGGCCAUUCCCGAGCUCGGAUCCCUUCCCCGGACAGCACGCCAAAUAUGCAUUAUAUACUUCAGCUAAUUAUAUGUAAGUGUGAACUCGUGAAAGUUAUUGAAGUGCACAGGACAGACUCAAUAACGGCUGAGUAGAACUGUUUCAGCAGCUCCUGUGGCAGGUUAAACUUCCUCAGCUGGCAAAGGAAGUAUAACCUUUGUUGGGCCUUUUUAACAAUGGAGUCAAUGUGAUUGUCCCACUUCAGGUCCUGAGAGAUGGUGGUUCCCAGGAAUCUGAAUGACUCCAGUGC
ensembl:lncRNA